UCGCCCUUAUGCUCAGUAACACGUGGAUAACCUGCCCUUAGGUCUGGCAUAACCCCGGGAAACUGGGGAUAAUUCCGGAUAGAUCAUGGAUGCUGGAAUGCACCGUGGUCGAAAGCUUUUGUGCCUAAGGAUGGGUCUGCGGUCUAUCAGGUUGUAGUGGGUGUAACGUACCUACUAGCCUACGACGGAUACGGGUUGUGGGAGCAAGAGCCCGGAGAUGGAUUCUGAGACAUGAAUCCAGGCCCUACGGGGCGCAGCAGGCGCGAAAACUUUACAAUGCGGGAAACCGCGAUAAGGGGACACCGAGUGCCAGCAUCCUAUGUUGGCUGUCCAUAUGUAUAAAUAACAUGUGUUAGCAAGGGCCGGGCAAGACCGGUGCCAGCCGCCGCGGUAACACCGGCGGCCCGAGUGGUGGCCACUAUUAUUGGGUCUAAAGGGUCCGUAGCCGGUUUGGUCAGUCUUCCGGGAAAUCUGACGGCUUAACCGUUAGGCUUUCGGGGGAUACUGCCAGGCUUGGGACCGGGAGAGGUAAGAGGUACUACGGGGGUAGGAGUGAAAUCUUGUAAUCCCUGUGGGACCACCAGUGGCGAAGGCGUCUUACCAGAACGGGUCCGACGGUGAGGGACGAAAGCUG
rnacentral:rRNA from 1 species